AUACGUAGGUGACAAGCGUUAUCCGGAUUUACUGGGCGUAAAGGGCGUGUAGGCGGUCUUGCAAGUCAGAAGUGAAAUUCCUGAGCUCAACUCGGGCGCUGCUUCUGAAACUGCAGGACUUGAGUGCUGGAGGGGAUAGCGGAAUUCCUAGUGGAGCGGUAAAAUGCGCAGAUAUUAGGAAGAACACCGGUGGCGAAGGCGGCUAUCGGGACAGCAACGGCCGCUGAGGCGCGCAAGCGUGGGGAGCAAACAGAAUUAGAUCCCCUGGUAGUCCACGCCGUAACCGAUGAAUACUAGGUGUAGGGGGUAUCGACUCCCUCGGUGCCGCAGUUAACACAAUAAGUGUUCCGCAUGGGGAGUACGGCCGCAAGGUUGAAACUCAAAGGAAUUGACGGGG
rnacentral:rRNA from 1 species